AAUGAACGUUGGCGGCGUGGAUUAGGCAUGCAAGUCGCGCGACAAGGAACCUUCGGGUUCUGGAGGAGCGGCAAACGGGGUAGUAAGGCAUCGGAACGUACCCUCUUGUUGGGAAUAGCCGCGGGAAACUGCGAGUAAUGCCCAAUAAUCCCUACGGGGCAAAGGUCCGCCGCAGGAGGAGCGGCCGAUGUGAUACCAGCUAGUUGGUGAGGUAAUGGCUCACCAAGGCUUAGACGUCUAGGGGGUGUGAGAGCAUGGCCCCCACCACUGGGACGUGAGAUACUGCCCACGACACCUACGGGUGGACUGCAGUCGAGAAUCUUCGG
rnacentral:rRNA from 1 species